CAGGGUGUAGCUCAGCUAGGCUAGAGCGUUUGUUUUGGGAACAAAAGGACGUAGGUUCGAGUCCUACUACUCUGA
rnacentral:tRNA from 1 species